UACGGAGGGUGCAAGCGUUGCUCGGAAUUAUUGGGCGUAAAGGGUAGGUAGGUGGUCUCAUUUGUCUGGGGUGAAAGCCUUGAGCUUAACUCAAGAAGUGCCCCAGAAACGGUGAGACUAGAGUCCUGGAGAGGGUCGUGGAAUUCCCGGUGUAGCGGUGAAAUGCGUAGAGAUCGGGAGGAACACCAGAGGCGAAGGCGGCGACCUGGACAGGAACUGACACUCAACUACGAAAGCGUGGGGAGCAAACAGGAUUAG
rnacentral:rRNA from 1 species